rnacentral:rRNA from 1 species
AGUGAACGCUGGCGGUAGGCCUAACACAUGCAAGUCGAACGGCAGCACAGAGGAGCUUGCUCCUUGGGUGGCGAGUGGCGGACGGGUGAGGAAUACAUCGGAAUCUACUCUGUCGUGGGGGAUAACGUAGGGAAACUUACGCUAAUACCGCAUACGACCCACGGGUGAAAGCAGGGGACCUUCGGGCCUUGCGCGAUUGAAUGAGCCGAUGUCGGAUUAGCUAGUUGGCGGGGUAAAGGCCCACCAAGGCGACGAUCCGUAGCUGGUCUGAGGGGAUGAUCAGCCACACUGGAACUGAGACACGGCCCAGACUCCUACGGGAGGCAGCAGUGGGGAAUAUUGGACAAUGGGCGCAAGCCUGAUCCAGCCAUACCGCGUGGGUGAAGAAGGCCUUCGGGUUGUAAAGCCCUUUUGUUGGGAAAGAAAUCCAGCUGGCUAAUACCCGGUUGGGAUGACGGUACCCAAAGAAUAAGCACCGGCUAACUUCGUGCCAGCCGCCGCCGUAA